UCGGGGCAUCGCAGGCCCCCGGCAUCUCAAAGACGGUUCCCGUCCAAGCCCUGC
rnacentral:ncRNA from 1 species